GACGAACGCUGGCGGCGUGCUUAACACAUGCAAGUCGAACGGUGAAGGGAUCAGCUUGCUGGUUCUGGAUGAGUGGCGAACGGGUGAGUAACACGUGAGUAACCUGCCCCCUUCUUCUGGAUAACCGCAUGAAAGUGUGGCUAAUACGGGAUAUUCUGCGCCUGCUGCAUGGUGGGUGUGGGAAAGAUAUUGUUUCGGUGGGGGAUGGGCUCGCGGUCUAUCAGCUUGUUGGUGGGGUGAUGGCCUACCAAGGCGGUGACGGGUAGCCGGCCUGAGAGGGUGGACGGUCACACUGGGACUGAGACACGGCCCAGACUCCUACGGGAGGCAGCAGUGGGGAAUAGUGCACAAGGGGCGCAAGCCUGAUGCAGCGACGCCGCGUGAGGGAUGGAGGCCUUCGGGGUGUGAACCUCUUUCGCCAGUGAAGCAGGCCUGUCCCUUGUGGGUGGGUUGACGGUAGCUGGAGAAGAAGCGCCGGCUAACUACGUG
rnacentral:rRNA from 1 species